CUUAGGCAAGUGAAUGUUAAAAGGAUCGCGUAGUCAUGGCCUCGUCGCCCGAGAAUGCUGCUGAGUUGGUCGACA
rnacentral:ribozyme from 1 species